rnacentral:tRNA from 1 species
AGUCCUGUUGCCUAAUGAAUAAGGUAUCAACCAUUAGAGCUGAAGAUUAUGGGUUCAAGUCUCAUCAGGGUGG